AGGAGCGUCUACAAAAGGAGAGGAGCCGGUUCCUCUACAGUGACCGAUCACAAAAUCAAAUUAAAACACCCAGGCAAGCAGCCACCUGUUAAUUAUUUUGGUGAUUCAAAAUCAGCCGUUAGAUCAAUCUCCUAUAAAAGGAAACCCCUCGCUCCUGUCUCUCAUCUUCACUAGCAUAUCUUUUCUUCAUUCCUUUUGCUGCUGCGGCCCUUCUCUUUCUCGUUGGCGUGAUUUUGAAGCGACAGCUCGGACGCAGAUAAAGAAAAAAAAAAUCAGAUGGAUCCAGACGCGGUGGCGAGGGCGUUCGUCGAGCACUACUACACGACAUUCGAUGCGAACCGGGCCGGUCUAGCCAAUCUCUACCAGGAAGGAUCCAUGUUGACCUUUGAAGGUCAAAAGAUCCAAGGCUCUCAGAACAUCGUGGCUAAGCUCACCAGCCUUCCUUUCCAGCAGUGCCAGCACAACAUCACCACCGUCGAUUGCCAGCCAUCCGGCGCCGGUGGCAUGCUUGUCUUCGUCAGUGGUACCCUCCAACUCGCCGGCGAACAGCAUGCUCUUAAGUUCAGCCAGAUGUUUCAUUUGAUGCCAACACCACAGGGAAGCUUCUAUGUCUUGAAUGACAUAUUCAGGUUGAACUAUGCGUGAAGACACAAUCUCCACGAUUAAUCAAGGGAUAGGAAUACAAUGCCAAGGAUUUAAACAAGUUUGCUUAUCUCUCUGCUGAGUUUAAGCAUUUUAAAUGAAAAAUGGAAAAUUUUUUGGGUUGAUUAUGUUUCUUGUUUCAUUAUGGUUUCCAUCUCUUCAUAUUUCAGAGACUUAUUUGUUGUGAUUGGUUGAGUUGGUUAAAGACAGUCUUAUGAAUUGGAUGUUGGGUGUUUGAUCGAAGACUUGUUUUUAGUUAAUCAUAUGGCUUUCAGAGGCAGACUUGUUUUUAGUUAAUCAUAUGGCUCUCAGAGACAGAUCUUCCAUCAAUGGAUCACAGAUAUUUGCAAUUGAAGAAAGAGGGAUUUGUCGUUAAUCUAAAGCUCUGCUAUUACAGAUUGAUUUUGUCUAACCUGAUUAUUGGAAACUCGACGUGACGAAUUUCAACAGAAGGGAGCGAAGGGUCAUCAAGGUGAUUAUGGUGGUGUUUUGUGGAUGAAGAAUGAUUGUCUUCUUCAUUGAUAUUAAUUGCAGGACUUGGCAACAUUCCUUCAAGAAGACUUCCAAAUGAUCUAACGGGGUGACUCAAAACCAUUUUUAACCUUGAGAAAGAGGGACAUCUCUGAGAGUUGCCAGAUUACAGUGACGACACUCAUCAGUGAAACCAGGCAAUGAGUUAAUGGUAUUCUGCCUCUUAAACGCUUUAAGCUCUAUCAUUAUCUCAUACACACAUUAACUUCCCCACAUCCACUUCCCACUGGAUUUCCAUUUCCGCUUUUUGCCUCUUAUUUAUCGACCUAAAGCGAAGUUACUUCCUCUAGUAAAGUUGAUCCUGCACCUCCUAAUGAUUUUAACUGUUAAACAAAAGUAAAACGACAUUAAUUUCUGUUUUUCCCAUGAUGUAAAACUUUACAUCGUACAUAAAAAAGCAGAUAUACCGGAACGUUUGAAUUGGUUAAACAGUGAUAUAGACAAGAAAAAUCAUCAUAGGGGGAAUUAAAACUAUGGGGUUGGUUGGUUUGGUGAUUUCAUGCACAUCUUUCUUUAUUUAAGACAAAGGAAAAGGACUCUUACUGAAAAGGUAGGUAGAUGAACUCGAAAAACGAGAUUCUGGUUGAUUCCUGUGAAGUUGCUAUGAAUAAAUUGUUUGGUUUCAGAUUUAGAUUUGUUAUGUACGUACCUGAGAGAGCAACCUGGAGAGGAGCUGCUCAUCAUCGUCCUGAGAGAGUUUAUCCUCAGCGGAAUGUUUUAUUCUCUUUUCUUCUAUGGCUUUCUGGAUUGCGAGGUCAAUUUCUUGACUUGAUUCCAUUUGAUAGAUUGGGAGAUGGAAAUUUCACUAUUUUGGGGGGACGGAGUUCUGCUUCGACAGGUGGAAGUCAAAACUUCCAACAGCUAAAAGACACUUGAGAUAUGAGAUUGUCUGGCUGAUCCAAAGUACUACAACUAUAAACUUGGAACUCUACAUGGGAAAGAGCAUCCAGCAAAUCACUUGGAACUUCUACUCAUUGACUAAUACAUGCCCAUGUAAGAACGAUAACAUGUUCUUUUCUUCAAGGCAAGCAAGCUUUGAGGGAAUUUUAGGUCACAAAAGCUCAAAGAACCCCGUCAAAAACCAAUUACAGCAAUAACAAGAAUACAGCACAAGUGCAGGGAACAUGUGCAAAUCAAUCUAAGUAAUAUAACUACGGCGAAACGCAGUCUAUUAUACAACAAAUCCAGGAAACUAUCAAAUUAGGUUCAAGGGGAAGACGGGUGUGAUCAGAAGGUGAUCCUAUGGAAAGUGGAGAUCAUCACUUUCCAUAUCAUAAAUAUCACCUACAGAAGCUGAUGCUGCUAGUUCAUUUGUGUUAACAAGUUCAGCCUGCAAGAAUGAUUGAAUAGAUUCAGAAUUAUAAUCCCAUUGCAAACGGAGUUCC